CAAAACACCAUCAACUUAAAAUCAGAAAAAUCAAUAACCCAGAAUCAACAAUUCAAAAAAAAAAAUCAAUCUUACAAUUUCAAAAAAUCACUGAAAAAGAUUAAAUAAACAAAGACCAAAUUGCUAAGCAAUCAAAAGAUUCAAAAUUCAAAAGGGGCUAAGAAAUCCAAUUAACCAACUUGAAACAACAAAAACCUGAGAAAAGAAUGUGAAAUUCCAAUAUCCAUAAAAUUAAUUCAGAAUCCAAUGUCCAUUCAAUCAACUCAAUCCAUAUAAUUAACUCAGAAAUCAUAAUAUAUACAACAA
rnacentral:lncRNA from 1 species